rnacentral:lncRNA from 1 species
AGAAACAAAUAAAGCCAGGUAUUUCUAUGGUUAAUUGAAACUAACAAGAUUUGUCAAUUGAAACUGAAAAAAUAAUUACACUACUAAACAUUCCUUAUUCAGUUCAUCUUUUCAAAGUACAGAAAUUCAGUGAUCUGUAAAACCAUGAGGUAAUGUUAAUCCAAGGGAAACGAGGCUCUUUAAUAUUUCAGUUGAGUCAGUUAAAUUAUUUUUGGCUUAUACUAAUUGGAAUAGAACUUUUGACUGUGUUCUUAAGGCUUCUGGCAGGUUAACUGAGCCCAUGUGAAAAUAGUUACAGUUAAGAAACUUGCUGAUUCAAAUGUCAAAAUCAAGGAAAGUUUGGAGAUAUAGUAAGCAUAGUUUAGUCCAAGUUCAGAGAUGCCAUACUCUUUACUUUCUAGGGUUAUUUGUUCUCUUUCCAUAAAUAAACUUUAGGAAAAAAAUUGCCCAUAUUAAACAAAAUAUAGCUGAUACAUA